CCUACGGGCGACAGCAGUGAGGAAUAUUGGUCAAUGGACGAGAGUCUGAACCAGCCAAGUAGCGUGAAGGAUGACUGCCCUAUGGGUUGUAAACUUCUUUUAUAUGGGAAUAAAACGUUCCACGUGUGGGAUUUUGUAUGUACCAUAUAAAUAAGGAUCGGCUAACUCCGUGCCAGCAGCCGCGGUAAUACGGAGGAUCCGAGCGUUAUCCGGAUUUAUUGGGUUUAAAGGGAGCGUAGGUGGAUUGUUAAGUCAGUUGUGAAAGUUUGCGGCUCAACCGUAAAAUUGCAGUUGAAACUGGCAGUCUUGAGUACAGUAGAGGUGGGCGGAAUUCGUGGUGUAGCGGUGAAAUGCUUAGAUAUCACGAAGAACUCCGAUUGCGAAGGCAGUUCACUGGACUGCAACUGACACUGAGGCUCGAAAGUGUGGGUAUCAAACAGGAUUAGAUACCCCAGUAGUC
rnacentral:rRNA from 1 species